rnacentral:lncRNA from 1 species
CCAGAUGCAUGUGCAGGUGUGCUGCCCGCACAGGGCCCCAAGUUUACAGGCCCCGAAUUGCCCCGAAUUUUGUAGCCAGUGGCCAGCCUGUUGGCCCAUAAAAAAGCUUGUUAUUUGCAUUGCCAGGAUUCAAACAAGCUACCUCUCGUAUAAGGCUUGUAAAAAGGGUUGCGUCAAACAACCAAUUCAUGGACGUUACUUGAACUUUUAAAGAAAAAUAGCUUUUAUUACUUCUGAUGUCAAGCAGUAUUUAAAUUACACGGUUCUAAGCUUUCGACCAUUUGCGAAGGUAUUUUCUAAUGCCAAAAUGCUUUUGUAUUUGCGAUCACUUGAUGCAUAACGAGGAAAUAUUUUUGUUUUUUCUAGACAUUUUAAUCAAAUGCCUGCAAAAGAAAUUAUAUCAAGGCAAUUAAAAGAACAGCUCACCACAAGGUGUAUGUGGUAAGACAUUUCAACAUAAACAAUGUCAAGAAAAAGAACACUUCAAAAUACAUUUUAUGCACGCAGCCUGCCAUGGACGAUGCCUAGAGCGAGGUAGGCCUAUCUUAGAAUUUGGCACAGACCCCUGAUUUUGCCGGCCCGGCAGAGAAUCUCGCUAGUCAAACAAGACA